AUACGGAGGGUGCGAGCGUUAAUCGGAAUUACUGGGCGUAAAGGGUGCGUAGGCGGCUUGAUAAGUCGGAUGAGAAAGCCCCGGGCUUAACCUGGGAAUUGCAUUCGAUACUGUCAGGCUAGAGUAUGUCAGAGGUUGGCGGAAUUCCUAGUGUAGCGGUGAAAUGCGUAGAUAUCAGGAGGAACACCAGUGGCGAAGGCGGCUAACUGGGGCAAUACUGACGCUGAGGCACGAAAGCGUGGGGAGCAAACAGGAUUAGAAACCCUAGUAGUCC
rnacentral:rRNA from 1 species